rnacentral:rRNA from 1 species
AUUGAACGCUGGCGGCAGGCCUAACACAUGCGAGUCGAGCGGAUGAAGGGAGCUUGCUCCUGGAUUCAGCGGCGGACGGGUGAGUAAUGCCUAGGAAUCUGCCUGGUAGUGGGGGAUAACGUCCGGAAACGGGCGCUAAUACCGCAUACGUCCUGAGGGAGAAAGUGGGGGAUCUUCGGACCUCACGCUAUCAGAUGAGCCUAGGUCGGAUUAGCUAGUUGGUGGGGUAAAGGCCUACCAAGGCGACGAUCCGUAACUGGUCUGAGAGGAUGAUCAGUCACACUGGAACUGAGACACGGUCCAGACUCCUACGGGAGGCGGCAGUGGGGAAUAUUGGACAAUGGGCGAAAGCCUGAUCCGGCCAUGCCGCGUGUGUGAAGAAGGUCUUCGGAUUGUAAAGCACUUUAAGUUGGGAGGAAGGGCAGUAAGUUAAUACCUUGCUGUUUUGACGUUACCAACAGAAUAAGCACCGGCUAACUUCGUG